CCAGACUCCUACGGGAGGCAGCAGUGGGGAAUUUUGGACAAUGGGCGCAAGCCUGAUCCAGCCAUGCCGCGUGUCUGAAGAAGGCCUUCGGGUUGUAAAGGACUUUUGUCAGGGAAGAAAAGGGCGGGGUUAAUACCCCUGUCUGAUGACGGUACCUGAAGAAUAAGCACCGGCUAAAUACGUGCCAGCAGCCGCGGUAAUACGUAGGGUGCGAGCGUUAAUUGGAAUUACUGGGCGUAAAGCGGGCGCAGACGGUUAAUUAAGCAGGAUGUGAAAUCCCCGGGCUCAACCUGGGAACUGCGUUUUGAACUGGGUGACUAGAGUGUGUCAGAGGGAGGUAGAAUUCCACGUGUAGCAGUGAAAUGCGUAGAGAUGUGGAGGAAUACCGAUGGCGAAGGCAGCCUCCUGGGAUAACACUGACGUUCAUGCCCGAAAGCGUGGGUAGC
rnacentral:rRNA from 1 species